ensembl:lncRNA
AAAAAGACUUUCACUAAACAAGACAAGACACACCACGAUGAGUACUCAAAGCAGGUCUGUGAAACGUCUAGAGGAGGAACUGAAUUCAGUCAUACAGAGUUUGGCUGAGAUGGGAAAAAAACUUCAUCAGGCAAAUAUGGUGAUGAACCAUCAAAAGGAGGAACUGAAUUCAGUCAUAGAGAGGUCUGUGAAACGUCUAGAGGAGGAACUGAAUCCAUUCAUACAGAGUUUGGGUGAAAUGGAAGAAGUUUACAAAGUGAACCUCAAACAACCAGGUUUGGCUGAAAUGGAAAAGUUUUACAAACAGAAACUCCAAGAAGAAAGAUCUGCACAUGAAAAAACUAAAGAAGAGUAUAAAUCAUUCAAAGACAGAAUGGCAGGGGAGGUUGAUCUUACACUAAAGACGGGGAACUCUGAAAACAUGAACAACCCAGUGAAUGAAACCAGACUGAAAGAGAUGUAUAAAGAGCUGAGGAAGGACUGGGCUAGAAUCAAGCCUGAAAUGAAGCAGGCCGCUCAGAGCGACGCAGAGCAAAUCAAAGUUGGCAUUCAGGUUCAUGAAUACACAAAGUUAACCAUUCAGAACCUUCAGCUUGCUGUUUACUACAGUUUCAAAGGCACUGCUGCUCAGGGGUUCCACGGACAGGAAGGUGAAACUCAUAGCUUCAAUAAGCUUACCCAGAAGUGCAGCUGGCUGAGCAGCUUAUUGGUGCUGAACAAUCCCCCUCUUCAGCCUGACUGGAAAAAUCAUGAUCCAGGGCAAGAUGCUUGGAACGUUUUCCCACAAGAGAUCACAGCUGAAUCUGCCACAUCACUCUGCCAGGACCCCUCUGAAAAUGUUGUUGGAUAUAGUUGGACAUCCCAGCAUCCAGACGUGAACCAGAGUGAAGAUAAUAUGAUGACGUGAGUUCCAACCAAGCAUGUCUUUUAUCAUGUCUUCAUUCUCUUACCACAACCGGUCGCUGAAGAUGGCCCCGCCCCUCCCUGAGUCUGGUUCUGCCGGAGGUUUCUUUUUUCCCUUCCCACUUCUCCCAAAGUGCUUGCUAUAUGGGACGUAUGAUUGUUGGGUUUUUCUUUGUAUGUAUUAUUGUAGGGUCUACCUUACAAUAUAAGGCAAAUGCUGUUGUGAUUUGAUGCAGUAUAAAUAAAACUGAAUUGAACAUGAACUCCUGUCCCCCUCUGUUGACACGGCCCCAUGAGCUCCCUGCAUCACCUCGCCACUGCAGCAGGCCAGAAGCCACAAGUUCAAAAAAAAAAUUCCCUUAACUGACAGUAGCACUACCUUUGUCAAAGUGGAGGGUGUAGUUUGGUAACACAAUCUGUCCUCAGGUUGGGUAUUGUUAUAUUUGAAAUUAUCUUUUGCUCAUUAUUUCCUCAACUUUUAAACAGCAAGGAUUAACUGAAGAGAAAACUGCUGUAUAUGAAUAAAGUUGAAUAGAAAACAAGUGUUUAUUCAGCUUUUGCCGUUAAAGGAACUUAAGUCAAAUAAACAUUAUGACUACAACUAGUCAGGGACUCAAAAUGGAGAGCAGAGGAGAGUCCGGUCAUGAUAAGUUAGGCAAAUCAGUCCCACAUAUCUUAGUAAAAUACAAAUGAUUUGAAUUU